rnacentral:rRNA from 1 species
AUAACGGUCCUAAGGUAGCGAAAUUCCUUGUCAGGUAAGUUCUGACCCGCACGAAUGGCGUAAUGAUUUGGGCACUGUCUCAACAGCCCGCCCGGCGAAAUUGUAGUACUGGUGAAGAUGCCAGUUACCCGCAACUAGACGGAAAGACCCCAUGGAGCUUUACUGCAGCUUAAUACUGGAAAUCGGUAAUUCAUGUACAGGAUAGGUGGGAGACGGAGAAGCAUGGUCGUCAGGUCAUGUGGAGUCGCCCUUGGGAUACCACUCUUGGAUUGCUGGUUUUCUAACCUGCGGCCGUGAAUCCGGUCGGGGGACACUGUUAGGCGGGCAGUUUGACUGGGGCGGUCGCCUCCAAAAAGGUAACGGAGGCGCUCAAAGGUUCGUUCAGCACGGACGGAAAUCGUGCAUUGAGUGUAAACGCAUAAACGAGCCUAACUGCGAGACCGACGGGUCGAGCAGUAACGAAAGUUGGAGUUAGUGAUCCGGUGGUAUGUGAGUGGAAAUGCCAUCGCUCAACGGAUAAAAGUUACCCUGGGGAUAACAGGCUGAUCUCCCCCAAGAGUCCACAUCGACGGGGAGGUUUGGCACCUCGAUGUCGGCUCAUCGCAUCCUGGGGCUGAAUUCGGUCCCAAGGGUUUGGCUGUUCGCCAAUUAAAGCGGUACGCGAGCUGGGUUCAGAACGUCGUGAGACAGUUCGGUCCCUAUCUGUCGUGGGCGCAGGAUAUUUGAUGGGAGCUGUCCCUAGUACGAGAGGACCGGGACGGACGUACCUCUGGCGCACCAGUUGUUCCGCCAGGAGCAUAGCUGGGCAACUACGUACGGAUCGGAUAAACGCUGAAAGCAUCUAAGCGUGAAGCCGACCCAAAGAUAAGAUAUCCCAUUGUUUCAAACAAGUAAGACCCCUUGAAGACUACAAGGUUGAUAGGCACGAUGUGUAAGUGGAGCGAUCCAUUCAGCAAGCGUGUACUAAUAGGUCGAGGGCUUGACCAC